rnacentral:rRNA from 1 species
UACGGGGGGGGCAAGCGUUGUUCGGGAAUUACUGGGCGUAAAGGGCUCGUAGGUGGCCAACUAAGGUUCAGACGUGAAAAUCCCCUCGGCUUAAACCGGGGAACUGCGUCUGAUAACUGGAUGGCUAGAGAUUGGGAGAGGGAUGCGGAAUUCCAGGUGAGCGGUGAAAUGCGUAGAUAUCUGGAGGAACACCGGGUGGCGAAGG